AAAGAAUUAGUUAAAUAUAUAACAUUAAUUUGUCAAAUUAAAAUAAUUUUUUAAAAAAAAUAUUCUUUA
rnacentral:tRNA from 1 species